UUACUACUCCCUCCGUCCCAUAUUAAGUGACUCAAAUUUGUUCAAAUAUGGAUGUAUCUAUGUCUAAAAAGCGUCUAGAUACAUGUAAUAGAAAGUCACUUAAUAUGGGAUGGAGGGAGUACCAA
rnacentral:pre_miRNA from 1 species